AAAUUGAAGAGUUUGAUCAUGGCUCAGAUUGAACGCUGGCGGCAGGCCUAACACAUGCAAGUCGAACGGUAACAGGAAGCAGCUUGCUGCUUUGCUGACGAGUGGCGGACGGGUGAGUAAUGUCUGGGAAACUGCCUGGUGGAGGGGGAUAACUACUGGAAACGGUAGCUAAUACCGC
rnacentral:rRNA from 1 species